rnacentral:rRNA from 1 species
UACGUAGGGCGCAAGCGUUGUCCGGAAUUAUUGGGCGUAAAGAGCUCGUAGGCGGUUUGUCGCGUCUGCUGUGAAAUCCCGAGGCUCAACCUCGGGCUUGCAGUGGGUACGGGCAGGCUAGAGUGCGGUAGGGGAGAAUGGAACUCCUGGUGUAGCGGUGGAAUGCGCAGAUAUCAGGAAGAACACCGAUGGCGAAGGCAGUUCUCUGGGCCGUAACUGACGCUGAGGAGCGAAAGCGUGGGGAGCGAACAGG